GGAGAAGUACCCAAGUAGGCCGAAGGGGACGGUUUGCUAAACCGUUAGUAGGGGCAACUCUAGCCCGGGUUCGAAUCCCGGCUUCUCCGCCA
rnacentral:tRNA from 1 species